UCUUAGUUCAUAGCUGAGCUCCCCUGCACUCACAGAGCUCAAAAGUGGCCAUGGUGUGGGGUGUGACAAUAUAGUGUUUUCCCCCCACCCCAACACCCCUAACCCCUAGCCCCACCCCCACCCUCACAGAAGUGUCUCAUUAAUGAUUUCUACUUAUACCUAUUCCAGUCCGCCACACUCUGCCCCCCGGGAAACAGGCCAACUGAAGCACCUGGCCCUCCCGCUCCCUCCCACUUCACCUUCAGAAAAGCUCUGUUCUGGGCAGCAGGUGCUGAGGUGACAAGGGAGAGGGUGAGAAAGAAAGGAGAUCCAUUUAGGACAACAACGGCUGCUGCUGGCUCCCUUGCCCAACAGGCAUUUCGCCCAGCGUGGAGUGGGAGCGUGAAGUACCCCCAGAGAGCUCUAGACGGCUGCAGAACAGCCCCAAGCAGACUUGUGGGGCAGGGCUCCUCUCCCCAAAGAAAUGCAACGCUGAGUCAGGCUUCCAAGGUCAGUCCCUCCUGCUAGACAGGGAACUCCCACCUCCAAGGAGCUGAGAGCUGACAGCUCAGGAGAGUUUCUUCUCUCCCUGAGUGUUUAGAUUCUGUCAGGUAAACACCUCAAGGGAAAAGUGAGGGGGGCAAGAAUGCAUGGAAGCUACAGCCUCAGGGUUUCCAUUCUUCACUUGUGUUGGGGCCAAGGGCUCAGUUAGUUCAAGUGCAGAGCAGCCUGGCCACCUGAGCACACGGUCCCCUUCCUUAGUAGGCCUGGGGCACCUGCCCUGUGUACUCCCCACCACAAAGGCUAGAACCCUGGCAUUUGCCCACCUAGUUCCUUCCAAUGAAGGGGGGUGCUUGGUGGGGUGUGUGUGAGAGGAACAGCCCAUAUAUUCCUGGAGCCAGCGUGGUGGACUGGAGGAGUGAAGCUUCUUUGGAACAACUGAGAAACUAAUUUAAUCCCAGUGAUAGGGGAAAGGCUCUGGAGCCAAAGGCUUGGGCUUGAAUCCCAGCUCCAUUGUCCAUGAGCUCUGAGACCCCGGCAUACUACCACACUCUCCUUGACCUCAGUUCCUCAUCUCUGUAAAAGGAAUCUGAUGCCUACCUUAUCUGCUGAAGACCAAAUGAAUGCCUGGCACAUCCUGGGAGCCUAAUAGCAAUAGCAAAUACUUCCAGAAAGAAUGGCCCAGGAUUCUCAGAAAUCUAAGAUGUAAAAGUUAAAGGAUUUUUCCACCUCUUCUGAUCCAGAGGUUCCUCAUCUGGGCUAAAAGAUACAAGAACUUAUUUCAAAGGUUCUAGGAAACUUCUGAAAUUACGUACAACGUGCUAUCAUAUGGUCAUCUUUCCAUGGAGAGGGUCCACAGCUGUCCAUGGCCCCCAAACUUAGAAUGACUGGUCAAA
rnacentral:lncRNA from 1 species